rnacentral:rRNA from 1 species
UGGGGAAUAUUGCGCAAUGGGCGAAAGCCUGACGCAGCAACGCCGCGUGGGUGAUGAAGGCCUUCGGGUUGUAAAGCCCUGUCGCCUGGGACGAACAAGCUCGUGAAGAACGAGCUCUGACGGUACCAGGAGAGGAAGCACCGGCUAACUCUGUGCCAGCAGCCGCGGUAAUACAGAGGGUGCUAGCGUUGUUCGGAAUUAUUGGGCGUAAAGGGCGCGUAGGCGGCCUCGCAUGUCGAAUGUGAAAGCCCACCUCUUAAAGGUGGAAUUGCAUUCGAAACUGCAAGGCUGGAGUGCCGGAGAGGGUGGUGGAAUUCCUGGUGUAGAGGUGAAAUUCGUAGAUAUCAGGAGGAACACCGGUGGCGAAGGCGGCCACCUGGACGGUAACUGACGCUGAGGCGCGAAAGCGUGGGGAGCAAACAGG